UACACUCAGGGAUAGCCUUUCGAAAGAAAGAUUAAUACCUGAUGGUAUGAUGAGAUUGCAUGAUAGCAUCAUUAAAGAUUUAUCGGUGUACGAUGGGGAUGCGUUCCAUUAGGUAGUAGGCGGGGUAACGGCCCACCUAGCCAACGAUGGAUAGGGGUUCUGAGAGGAAGGUCCCCCACAUUGGAACUGAGACACGGUCCAAACUCCUACGGGAGGCAGCAGUGAGGAAUAUUGGUCAAUGGACGAGAGUCUGAACCAGCCAAGUAGCGUGAAGGAUGAAGGUCCUACGGAUUGUAAACUUCUUUUAUAAGGGAAUAAACCCUCCCACGUGUGGGAGCUUGUAUGUACCUUAUGAAUAAGCAUCGGCUAACUCCGUGCCAGCAGCCGCGGUAAUACGGAGGAUGCGAGCGUUAUCCGGAUUUAUUGGGUUUAAAGGGAGCGCAGACGGGUCGUUAAGUCAGCUGUGAAAGUUUGGGGCUCAACCUUAAGAUUGCAGUUGAUACUGGCGUCCUUGAGUGCGGUUGAGGUGUGCGGAAUUCGUGGUGUAGCGGUGAAAUGCUUAGAUAUCACGAAGAACUCCGAUUGCGAAGGCAGCACACUAAUCCGUAACUGACGUUCAUGCUCGAAAGUGUGGGUAUCAAACAGGAUUAGAUACC
rnacentral:rRNA from 1 species